CAAGUUAUAUUUUAUAUAAAAUUUUUAAUUUACAUUUAAAAGAAAAUUAUUGAUUAAUUUAAUUUGA
rnacentral:tRNA from 1 species